AGAGUUUGAUCCUGGCUCAGAGCGAACGCUGGCGGCGUGCCUAACACAUGCAAGUCGAACGUGAAACCCCGCAAGGGGGAGUAAAGUGGCGUACGGGUGAGUAACACGUAGGUAAUCUACCUGAGAGUCUGGAAUAACCGGCCGAAAGGCUGGCUAAUACUGGAUAGAGCGACGGAAUCCGUAAUUGGGUUUUUCGGGAAAGGGAGGAAGCAAUUCCCUUCGCUCUCAGAUGAGCCUGCGUCCCAUCAGCUAGUUGGCGAGGUAACGGCUCACCAAGGCAAUGACGGGUAGCUGGUCUGAGAGGAUGAUCAGCCACACUGGAACUGAAACACGGUCCAGACUCCUACGGGAGGCAGCAGUGGGGAAUCUUGCGCAAUGGACGAAAGUCUGACGCAGCCACGCCGCGUGAGUGAAGAAGGCCUUCGGGUUGUAAAGCUCUGUCGGAAGGGACGAAAAUGAUCUGGGUGAAUAGCCCAGGUAACUGACGGUACCCUUCAAGGAAGCACCGGCUAACUCUGUGCCAGCAGCCGCGGUAAUACAGAAGGUGCA
rnacentral:rRNA from 1 species